CCUACGGGUGGCAGCAGUAGGGAAUCUUCCACAAUGGGCGAAAGCCUGAUGCAGCAACGCCGCGUGGGUGAAGAAGGUCUUCGGAUCGUAAAACCCUUUUGUUAGAGAAGAAAGUGCGUGAGAGUAACUGUUCACGUUUCGACGGUAUCUAACCAGAAAGCCACGGCUAACUACGUGCCAGCAGCCGCGGUAAUACGUAGGUGGCAAGCGUUAUCCGGAUUUAUUGGGCGUAAAGGGAACGCAGGCGGUCUGUUAAGUCUGAUGUGAAAGCCUUCGGCUUAACCGGAGUAGUGCAUUGGAAACUGGGAGACUUGAGUGCAGAAGAGGAGAGUGGAAGUCCAUGUGUAGCGGUGAAAUGCGUAGAUAUAUGGAAGAACACCAGUGGCGAAGGCGGCUCUCUGGUCUGUAACUGACGCUGAGGUUCGAAAGCGUGGGUAGCAAACAGGAUUAGAUACCCCAGUAGUC
rnacentral:rRNA from 1 species